AUUGAACGCUGGCGGCAGGCCUAACACAUGCAAGUCGAGCGAGCGGCGUACGGGUGAGUAAUGUAUGGGGAUUGACCGAUAGUGGGGGAUAACUACUGGAAAAGGUGUCUAAUACCGCAUACUUUCGGAUCACCCAUAUGGGAUUAGCUAGUAGGUGGGGUAAAGGCUCACCUAGGCGACGAUCUCUCGCUGGUCGGAGAGGAUGACACGACACACGGGGACUGAGACACAGCACAGACUCCAACGGAGACGGCAGUGGGGAAUAUUGCAUACUGAGCGCAAUCCGGAUGCAGCCAUGCCGCAUGUAUGAAGAAGGCCUGAGGGUUGUAAAGUACUUUCAACGGGGAGGCGUUCCCCGCAGAAGAAGCACCGGCUAACUCCGUGCCAGCGGCCGCGGUAAUAC
rnacentral:rRNA from 1 species